UACGUAGGGUGCAAGCGUUAAUCGGAAUUACUGGGCGUAAAGCGUGCGCAGGCGGUUGGGCAAGACAGAUGUGAAAUCCCCCGGGCUCAACCUGGGAAUUGCAUUUGUGACUGCACGGCUAGAGUGUGUCAGAGGGGGGUAGAAUUCCACGUGUAGCAGUGAAAUGCGUAGAGAUGUGGAGGAAUACCGAUGGCGAAGGCAGCCCCCCUGGGAUAACACUGACGCUCAUGCACAGAAAGCGUGGGGGAGCAAACAGG
rnacentral:rRNA from 1 species